CUCUUGUAUGAAACAAUAUGAAGUUGGAUCACUACUGUUUUAGGGAGAAACCCAGAAAUGGUUACUGUUGUUUCGAUUGCUGAGGCAAGGCAAGCUGCUUACAUACUUACCUGUAGCUCUUUUAAAUGUUUCUGUUUUGCAUUAAAUUAUUGUAUUGGUUGAAUGGUUAUAAAAAUUCAUAUCAGAAUUUCCCAGCACAAGAUAAGGUAGAUGUUUUUUGAAAUAGAAGGCUCUCUUCCAUCCCUCCUUCCAUGUGAACCAGGAAGAAUAGUAUCUUGGCAAAGUUGCAAUGACAUUAUAAUUAUCUCAGUUUCAGCCAGUAUUAUAAUUAAUUUGUUUCCAUUUAAUUUCCACAUCACCAGACUUUGAGACUGGAGUUACCUUAUACAUUAAAAUUUUACAGAUACAAGAAAGUCCCAUUUUAAAGCCGCAGCAAAGUCGAUUUGACUGCUUCCAUGCACAUCUCAUUUAUUUGGCUGAAGUACUUACUUUCACUCUUUUCUUUUUCCUUUUUUUUUUUUUCCUCCACCUUUAAAAAUUUCUUCUGUAGCUGCUGCUUGUUACCUUUUCCAGGACAAAGUGUUAAAUGAUCCUUAUCUCACUCUUUGAAGCUGAAGUAUAUAGUUAUUCAGGUAAGCCAGCCUGAAUGCAGGAAUCUUUGAAAGCGCAUUAAUUUGUCCAUUACUUUGAGUAUCUCUGCCUCUUAACUGAAGACACUUUCUUGGUGUGGGAAAAAAAUAGGUAUUUUAAUUACUGGAAGAUUUUCAGAGGCCAAGUCUGUUUUACGUAGUUAAUAUAAAACUCUCUGGUUUUCUCUUUCAAAUUGAGUGAAUAGCAGUGUGGGGGAUAGGAUUAGGCUUGGCGUGUAGUUUGUCUUUAUUCCACACUUGAACAAAAGUUUUGUCAUCUUUUUAUCACUUUUCACCUUCAUCAUAUUGAUGAAUUUGGACAUAACCUAAUUACCUCCAAUCAUUGUUUUGAAAAGGGCACAUACUGGUAGCAGACAGCCUUAUUUACUACUGCUGUCCUUCAGGAUGAUCCUGGAAGAGAAUGUUACCGUGAAGUACUGGAUUUACUUUUUUUUUCCAAAGAUAGUUCUUGUACAGAUUGGGAUUCUGUCUGUUGCCCAGCAAUAAACAGUCAUGGCUUCCUUUCUGAGCAUUGCUCAGCAGCAUGAUGGUGCUGCUGAAGUCUUUCAUGGAGCUGAAUUACUACGUACUUCUCUGCCUGAAUGUAGGCCAGGUUCAUACAUCAGGUGUUAAUUAAAUGAAUAGUUCCUGCAUGGUUAAAUCUGCUGGUCUUUUAUCAGCAAGAUUGCCUCUGAAGUACUGAAAGGAACAUAAACUUUAUUUUAUGUUAAUUGACUUAAGUAGGAAAUUAUAGCUGCAUUUGUUUAAAGAAGGAAAAAGUCUCCAGUUUGCUCUAGUAAAGGGAUGCUAGUCCAGAGGCGAAUGGAUGGUACCAUGCUGAAAGGUGCUUCCUUCUGUGAGCUAAAUGUUUAUCCCAUGUGCAUCACAAACCAGUGAUACUGUGAACUCCAUAUGAUUUUGAUCUUUCCAGUGGCAUUGUUCAAGCAUGCAGUUAAAAUUUUCUGCGAUACUUGGGGAAGUUAUAAAAUGAAACCAGGAUACCAACUUAAUCACUUGGUAAAUUCAGCCCAUGAAAAGAUCUCCUAACUAGUGUACAGUUCCUUUAUUUCGGCUUUCUUCCUCAGUUCAUCUGUGCAGAUUUAAAGAUUUUCUACCACAACAGGCAGAACUAACUGCAGGCUUUUUUUGCAGAGUUGUGUCUUGUGUUUGCCCUGUGCUGCUCUGUGAUGUUAUUUAUUCUUCAUGUUCCUUACUGUCCUGACUUCUGUCUUUGGGUUUCAGUUUCAUCAUGUGCAAGCCUCAGGUGGACAAGAGGAAGCAGGCAGGGAGAUGUCUGAGAUCUGCACAAGGCUGGGUGCCGAGGUGGCAAGUUGAAUCAGGCACCACUGAGCUGCCAGUGAAGCAUUUUCUCGGCAGCAGUUCCAAUUCUUGUCUGCUGCCCAGCUGUGGCUUGCGCAUUUAGCAGAGGGGGGCAGGCAUGUCUCUUUCAACAAGCGUGCAAGACCUCCGAGGGAAUGGAGGAAUAAAGGAACAAGUUCCAUUUCUUGAGGGAGGAAGGCUAAGAGCAUACUACCUUGUGAUAAAUAGGUGGCCUGUCUGGAUGAAUAAGAGGAGCCUUUUCUUCAAACGUCCAUUCUUGCUUUGUUUUAAAGUGUCCUUGUACUUAGGCCUCAGAAUCUGUUUGUUUUGCCUUUCCAACAGCACUGCAAAGAAUUCUUUUUUUCCUUCCAGACAAGCUAGAAAAGUAUCAGUUUUUACAUUCUGCAAUUAUAAUAGAGGGCUUUUGUCCUAUGUUGAGUUGUACUGCCAUAGCAAUGAGCUGAAACCUCUGAAAUAACUGGUUUGUAUCUCACUACGUUCAAAAGCUUCAGUAGACGUGGUUAGAAUGUGAACAGUUCAUAUAAUUUUCAUGUAUAAUAUUCCAUGAUAAUAUUGGUAGUUAUUUCACUCCCAGGUCUUUGUGCUUUGAGAAGGCAUUUUUUGAGCUUGAGUACUUACGUAGCCUGAGGAGGCUGCUGUACUUGAGGUGGAUAGACCUUCCUGAAGCACAGGGGCACAGGCUCUCUUAGGCCAUACAGGUUAUUGCCCUGUGCUUUUGUUUUAUUUCUAAAAGAGGCUUCUCAGUUUUUCAGGACCUAAAAGUUUCCAUUGAUACCGUAGUGAUUUAAAUGAGCCACCUUUUUAACUCCUUUCCUUGAGGUUACUACUAGGUAGCAGUUGUUUGCAGCUGGAUGUGGGAAUGUCACUUAGUGUAAGAGAGUAACAUGUGGUAAGUGGAUUUUAGUUCAGAGAAAACAAGGAUUCCAAGAAGUUACUUUCUGAUAGCUGCUUAAUUAGAGGAUAGUGUUCAUUUUUGCAGAAGAAGACUGAUUUUAAUCUUCUUUCACACCCAGUUUGUUGUUUGGUUUUUUUUUUGUUGGUUUUGUUUUCAGUGUUGGUCUUAUUUAAGAGUUUAAAUGCUGGUGAUAUUAGCAUUUUGCAGCAGCUCUUUUCUCUUUUUUCCAGUACCUUUUGCUAUUAGGGACAUCUUUUUUUUUUUUUUUUUUGCUUUGGUGGAGCUGUAUAUUAAAAAUUACUUUUUCUUUGCGUAUUGCUAUCAUUUUGUUAGGCUUCCAGAAUUAUAAAUUUUUGAGCUCUUGUGAACAGUUUGCUGUUUGAGCAGGGUGUUUUAUUGUUGAAUGACACAAAAAUGUGGGUCAUUUCUGAUGUGCCUGCUACUGAUGUUGAUAGUGCAGGCAUGGGUGAAAACAGAUCCCUCAGUACAGGACCACUUGUAAAGGCAGUUUUGCCCUUUUUCUGUCAAGAAAAGCUUCUGUGGAACUCCAAAAGUGUAAUUUCCUUUGUUUUACAAUAUUGUAUUUAAAAUAUUCCACAACGUUGUUAAUGCUCCAAAAGAAUUGAAUAAUGCUGCUGGACAGUACGCUCUACUUCAAACCUGUGAAUGUUUCACUUUGCAAUUAUAUCUAGUCGUGUCCCUAAUGGUAUGUAUGAGUUGGUGACUUGUCAGGAAUGUUCACCGUAAGGAUUUGUUUCUUAAAUACCUUCUUUGAAGUGCCUUUGACCAAUGUUUAGCAUCAAAAUUAAGUUGAGAUUUGAAUAAAUAAAAUGAGUUAUCUCAUA